ACGCUGGCGGCGUGCCUAAUACAUGCAAGUCGAACGAGAGCGACCGGUGCUUGCACUGGUCAAUCUAGUGGCGAACGGGUGAGUAACACGUGGGUAACCUGCCCAUCAGAGGGGGAUAACAUUCGGAAACGGAUGCUAAAACCGCAUAGGUUCUUGAGUCGCAUGACCCGAGAAGGAAAAGAGGCUUCGGCUUCUGCUGAUGGAUGGACCCGCGGUGCAUUAGCUAGUUGGUGAGGUAACGGCUCACCAAGGCCGUGAUGCAUAGCCGACCUGAGAGGGUGAUCGGCCACAUUGGGACUGAGACACGGCCCAAACUCCUACGGGAGGCAGCAGUAGGGAAUCUUCCGCAAUGGACGCAAGUCUGACGGAGCAACGCCGCGUGAGUGAAGAAGGAUUUCGGUUCGUAAAACUCUGUUGUUAGAGAAGAACAGCGCAUAGAGUAACUGUUAUGCGUGUGACGGUAUCUAACCAGAAAGCCACGGCUAACUACGUGCCAGCAGCCGCGGUAAUACGUAGGUGGCAAGCGUUGUCCGGAUUUAUUGGGCGUAAAGCGAGCGCAGGCGGUCAAAUAAGUCUGAUGUGAAAGCCCCCGGCUCAACCGGGGAGGGUCAUUGGAAACUGGUUGACUUGAGUGCAGAAGAGGAGAGUGGAAUUCCAUGUGUAGCGGUGAAAUGCGUAGAUAUAUGGAGGAACACCAGUGGCGAAGGCGACUCUCUGGUCUGUAACUGACGCUGAGGCUCGAAAGCGUGGGUAGCAAACAGGAUUAGAUACCCUGGUAGUCCACGCCGUAAACGAUGAGUGCUAAGUGUUGGAGGGUUUCCGCCCUUCAGUGCUGCAGUUAACGCAUUAAGCACUCCGCCUGGGGAGUACGACCGCAAGGUUGAAACUCAAAGGAAUUGACGGGGACC
rnacentral:rRNA from 1 species